GGUGAGUAACACGUGGGUAAUCUGCCCUUUCCCGCAUUCGCGGGAUCCCGUUUCGACGGGAAAGUUGGGAAUAACAUUUCGAAAGAGGUGCUAAUACCGAAUAAGACCCCAGGGACUUAGGUCCCGGAGGUUAAAGUCAGGGACCCGUAAGGGCCUGACGCUUGAGGAUGAGCCCGUGUCCUAUCAGCUUGUUGGUGAGGUAAUGGCUCACCAAGGCUUUUGACGGGUAGCUGGUCUGAGAGGAUGGUCAGCCACACUGGGACUGAGACACUGCCCAGACUUCUACGGGAGGCUGCAGUCGAGAAUCUUUCGCAAUGGGGGAAACCCUGACGAAGCGACGCCGCGUGGGCGAUGAAGGCCUUCGGGUUGUAAAGCCCUGUCACGAGGGACGAAUACGCGAUGGGUAAUACCUUGAGCGUUUGACGGUACCUCGAGAGGAAGCCACGGCUAACUCCGUGCCAGCCCCGUACCGGAAAAAUCUGGUAUGCGGUGGGCUGGAAGGGUGCGGAGAUACAGUAGCAAUGCUGUAUAAGAAAAUCUCGCUAUAUGCUGGAACAUUUUAUUACCUAUGAAGUUACGGCUGCGCGGUAAAGGUAAUAAGACAAUCAGCAG
rnacentral:rRNA from 1 species